AGGGGGUCUUUUAGAGGCUACGUCUGGAUUUUUCUUUUCGUAGCUCAGUUUUUUGGUGAAUCAAUGUUGAGUGCCUCUCUUGGUUUCUUUAUUCCUCAGGGAAAACAAGAUUCAUGGAGCCCGUAUGGACAAGGGCUGAAAGAGAUGAAUUAAACCUGGAUUUGAUCUCAGAAUCUCUCGAUUGUUUCUACAAACACUCUUUAACUUUCACAACCAAGGAGGUGAUUCACAUUCUUCGUUAUUAGUGUAAGUUAUUUAGUUACAAUGGACUGGCCAUUGCAAGUUUUAGUUGUGCAUGGCACUUUAAUAGUUCCAGUCCCUGCAUGCUGGAAGUAGAUCAGGCCAUCAAAUCAAGUGGUUCUAUGAGGCUUGUCUUCCUCCCAAACAUGAUACAUGUUGUAGGGAACUGGACCAAUGCACAAGGUGGGCUUCACCAUGACGAUCACUUGGAAAUAAAAUCAAGCUAGUCCACUCUUUGAGUAGGCCCCACAACCAAAAUCAACGGACAACACUACAACAAAAGGUAAAGGCUUGGAUUACCAAAGCUUCAAAGAGUAUAUCAUCAUUUUGGAAGGUCAGUGAAAAGAACUUAGGUUACAAUGCAAAUGAUUCUAAUUCGGAUGAGUCAAAAGGUGAUUUGAAAUAAAGAUCAAUAAGAUAUGUUUUAUUUAAAUGGAAGAGUCUAGACAUUGUGUUGGAGACAAAGCCCCUUUUUUAUUGUCAAUGAAGCGGUUUUCGCUUUGGGAGAGUACAAGAUAAUUUUAGAUAUUCAAAGGGGGUUGUUGCUGCUCUUCACCAAAGGCAAUCACAGGUUGGGCUAAUUGAAUCAUGCUAAAGGAAUCCUAUAUGUAUUUUUUCCAUGUGGCAUUCAUCAGUUUGGGUUUAUAUUGAAACAACCACAGUUGAAA